rnacentral:sRNA from 1 species
CGUUUGGUCCGGAGUCGGUGGGUUAUCAAUUUCUGAACCCCUCCCAUCGACAUACACUUGACCAUUGC